CAUGAAACCCCAAUAAAAACUCUGAACUCUGAAGAUCCAGCGAGAACUCCCUGGUGGGUUCCCUUAAUAGUACCACACAUCACAGCCAAAGGGAGGCAGUGCUGUCUAGGACUCCAUGGAGCCAGGACUAUUGAAAGCUUCAGGGAAACACUUCGCUAGGACUACCUGCUGUGUCCGUGAAAGGCUGCGGAUUCGGUGUGUGGGCGGUAACCAAGGAGGAGAAGGUGAGCUGGGAGAAGUUUGGAUGCAAUCUGGCUUUAAAGGGAGCACCUCAAAGCAGGAAGGCUGAGACAUUUCUUAAAAACAGAAAUUGCCACUUUGUGCUUAAUGGUUGUUUACUGUCUGGUGUGUGAUGUGACUCCUUCCUAUGGAGCCCAGGUCCUUGGAAAUGUCAAAUGCACUCAGGGUGUUUUCAGCAGAUAGGAUUUCCAGGAUUUUUUUUUUUUUCCCCCUUUUUAUAGCUGCACCUGCAGCGUAUGGAAAUUCUUGGGCCAGAGUCGAAUUGGCUCUGUGGCUGAGUCCUAUGCCACAGGCACAGCAACACUGGAUCCCAGCCACAUCUGUCACCUACACCACAGCUUGCGGCAACACUGUAUCCUUAACCCACUGAGCAAAGCCAGGGAUGAAACUUACAUCCUCACAGGGACAACAGUCAGGUCCUUAACCUGCUGAGCCACAACAGGAACUCUGAAUAUCCAGGAAUUUUUUUUGGAAAUCAAUUUCAGGUAUAGGCUGAUGUGACUUGGGGCUUUGCAUACAUGUAAACAGAGCCAGGACAUAGAGAAGACCUUGAGAAUGGCAUCCUGCCUCACCUCUUUCCAGGAGGUGGCUGCACAUGGGGGAAACGUGGAAUUAGCACUGAGCCUGUCUUAUUCCCAACUCCCUAGGCAGGACAGCCCCAGGUAAUCCUAGAUUCCUCAGCACUGGAUACAGGGAUGAGAGAAAUAAAUGGUUUGGAGAAGGACACAGAACACGUACAAGCAGCAGAGAUAAGUCUUUCUUCAAGAUUACGGCAUUUUGCCAGGCACUGGACUCACAGCUGUGAAGGACACAGUCCCCAUUCCAGAAGAGCUCAGGGUCCAGAAUGAGAGAUGGGGUAACCGCACACCAUGAUUGGUGCCUGGAAGGUAGCAAGUAGAGGCUGCUAGGAAGCGAGGAGCCUGGGUCAGACCCUAAUCCAAGAUUGGAUUUGGGGUGGAGCGUUUCCAAGAUGGGUUCUAG
ensembl:lncRNA